rnacentral:rRNA from 1 species
CCUACGGGAGGCAGCAGUGGGGAAUAUUGCGCAAUGGGCGAAAGCCUGACGCAGCGAAGCCGCGUGAGGGAUGAAGGUCUUCGGAUCGUAAAACUCUGUCAGCAGGGAAGAAAGGUCACUGUGCUAUUCAGCAGUGAAUUGACGGUAACUGCAAAGGAAGCACCGGCUAACGCCGUGCCAGCAGCCGCGGGAAUACGGAUGGUGCGAGCGUUAAUCGGAAUUACUGGGCGUAAAGCGCUCGUAGGCGGUAUGUCAAGUCAAGGGUGAAAUCCCCGCGCUCAACGUGGGCACUGCCUUUGAAACUGGCAAACUGGAGUGUGUGAGAGGAUAGUGGAAUUCCAGGUGUAGCGGUGAAAUCCGUAGAUAUCUGGAGGAACAUCAGUGGCGAAGGCGACUAUCUGGCACAUAACUGACGCUGAGGAGCGAAAGCGUGGGUAGCAAACAGGAUUAGAUACCCUUGUAGUC